rnacentral:rRNA from 1 species
GAUGAACGCUGACAGAAUGCUUAACACAUGCAAGUCUUUGGCGAAUCUGUGCUUGCACAGGCUAGCCAAGGCGGACGGGUGAGUAACGCGUAAAGAACUUGCCCUGCAGACAGGGAUAACAGACGGAAACGACUGAUAACACCUGAUACAGUUGCCGGCACGCAUGUGCCUGGCAAUGAAAAGAGAUGCUGCAGGAGAGCUUUGCGUCCUAUUAGCUUGUUGGUGAGGUGACGGCUCACCAAGGCGAUGAUAGGUAGCCGGCCUGAGAGGGUGAACGGCCACAAGGGGACUGAGAUACGGCCCUUACUCCUACGGGAGGCAGCAGUGGGGAAUAUUGGACAAUGGGGGCAACCCUGAUCCAGCAAUUCUGUGUGCACGAAGAAGGUUUUCGGAUUGUAAGGUGCUUUCAGCAGGGAAGAAGAAAGUGACGGUACCUGCAGAAGAAGCGACGGCUAAAUACGUG